rnacentral:rRNA from 1 species
AGAACGAACGCUGGCGGCAUGCCUAACACAUGUAAGUCGAGCGCCCGUAGCAAUACGGGAGCGGCGCACGGGUGAGUAACGCGUGGGAACCUGCCCUAAGGUUUGGGACAACCGCGGGAAACUGCGGCUGAUACCGGAUGAUGCGCCUGGUUGAGAGACCAGGUGCCAAAGAUUUAUCGCCUUUGGAGGGGCCCGCGUCGGAUUAGGUAGUUGGUGAGGUAACGGCUCACCAAGCCUGCGAUCCGUAGC